UACGAAGGGGGCUAGCGUUGCUCGGAAUUACUGGGCGUAAAGGGAGCGUAGGCGGACAUUUAAGUCAGAGGUGAAAUCCCGGAGCUUAACUUCGGAACUGCCUUUGAUACUGGAUGUCUUGAGUGUGAGAGAGGUAUGUGGAACUCCGAGUGUAGAGGUGAAAUUCGUAGAUAUUCGGAAGAACACCAGUGGCGAAGGCGACUCACUGGCUCAUUACUGACGCUGAGGCUCGAAAGCGUGGGGAGCAAACAGG
rnacentral:rRNA from 1 species